CUACAUCUCAGUUCAGAUUGCAGGCUGCAGCUCGCCUGCAUGAAGUCGGAAUUGCUAGUAAUCGCGGAUCAGCAUGCCGCGGUGAAUACGUUCCCGGGCCUUGUACACACCGCCCGUCACACCAUGAGAGUCGGGAACACCCGAAGUCCGUAGCCUAACCGCAAGGAGGGCGCGGCCGAAGGUGGGUUCGAUAAUUGGGGUGAAGUCGUAACAAGGUACC
rnacentral:rRNA from 1 species